GAUCCAUAGCCGGCCUGAGAGGGUGAACGGCCACAUUGGGACUGAGACACGGCCCAGACUCCUACGGGAGGCAGCAGUGGGGAAUAUUGCACAAUGGGGGAAACCCUGAUGCAGCGACGCCGCGUGGAGGAAGAAGGUCUUCGGAUUGUAAACUCCUGUUGUUGAGGAAGAUAAUGACGGUACUCAACAAGGAAGUGACGGCUAACUACGUGCCAGCAGCCGCGGUAAAACGUAGGUCACAAGCGUUGUCCGGAAUUACUGGGUGUAAAGGGAGCGCAGGCGGGAAGACAAGUUGGAAGUGAAAUCUAUGGGCUCAACCCAUAAACUGCUUUCAAAACUGUUUUUCUUGAGUAGUGCAGAGGUAGGCGGAAUUCCCGGUGUAGCGGUGGAAUGCGUAGAUAUCGGGAGGAACACCAGUGGCGAAGGCGGCCUACUGGGCACCAACUGACGCUGAGGCUCGAAAGUGUGGGUAGCAAACAGGAUUAGAUACCCUGGUAGUCCACACCGUAAACGAUGAUUACUAGGUGUUGGAGGAUUGACCCCUUCAGUGCCGCAGUUAACACAAUAAGUAAUCCACCUGGGGAGUACGACCGCAAGGUUGAAACUCAAAGGAAUUGACGGGGGCCCGCACAAGCAGUGGAGUAUGUGGUUUAAUUCGACGCAACGCGAAGAACCUUACCAAGUCUUGACAUCCCUUGACGAACAUAGAAAUAUGUUUUCUCUUCGGAGCAAGGAGACAGGUGGUGCAUGGUUGUCGUCAGCUCGUGUCGUGAGAUGUUGGGUUAAGUCCCGCAACGAGCGCAACCCUUAUGGUCAGUUACUACGCAAGAGGACUCUGGCCAGACUGCCGUUGACAAAACGGAGGAAGGUGGGGAUGACGUCAAAUCAUCAUGCCCUUUAUGACUUGGGCUACACACGUACUACAAUGGCGUUAAACAAAGAGAAGCAAGACCGCGAGGUGGAGCAAAACUCAGAAACAACGUCCCAGUUCGGACUGCAGGCUGCAACUCGCCUGCACGAAGUCGGAAUUGCUAGUAAUCGUGGAUCAGCAUGCCACGGUGAAUACGUUCCCGGGCCUUGUACACACCGCCCGUCACACCAUGAGAGCCGGGGGGACCCGAAGUCGGUAGUCUAACCGCAAGGAGGACGCCGCCGAAGGUAAAACUGGUGAUUGGGGUGAAGUCGUAACAAGGUAGCCGUAGGAGAACCUGCGGCUG
rnacentral:rRNA from 1 species